rnacentral:rRNA from 1 species
ACUCCUACGGGAGGCAGCAGUGGGGAAUUUUGCGCAAUGGGGGAAACCCUGAUCCAGCCAUGCCGCGUGGGUGAAGAAGGCCUUCGGGUUGUAAAGCUCUUUUGGCGGGGACGAUAAUGACGGUACCGGAAGAAGAAGCCCCGGCUAACUCCGUGCCAGCAGCCGCGGUAAUACGAAGGGGGCGAGCGUUGUUCGGAAUUACUGGGCGUAAAGGGCGCGUAGGCGGCGACCCAAGUCAGAUGUGAAAGUCCUGGGCUUAACCUGGGGACUGCAUUUGAUACUGUCAGGCUUGAAUCCAGGAGAGGAUAGUGGAAUUCCCAGUGUAGAGGUGAAAUUCGUAGAUAUUGGGAAGAACACCUGUGGCGAAAGCGGCUCACUGGACCACAACUGACGCUGAGGCGCGAAAGCUAGGGGAGCAAACAGGAUUAGAUACCCUGGUAGUCCACGCCGUAAACGAUGAAGACUAGCUGUCCGGGCACAUGGUGCUUGGGUGGCGCAGCUAACGCGUUAAGCAAUCCGCCUGGGGAGUACGGUCGCAAGGCUGAAACUUAAAGGAAUUGACG